rnacentral:rRNA from 1 species
GACGAACGCUGGCGGCGUGCUUAACACAUGCAAGUCGAACGGAAAGGCCCUGCUUUUGUGGGGUGCUCGAGUGGCGAACGGGUGAGUAACACGUGAGUAACCUGCCCUUGACUUUGGGAUAACUUCAGGAAACUGGGGCUAAUACCGGAUAGGAGCUCCUGCUGCAUGGUGGGGGUUGGAAAGUUUCGGCGGUUGGGGAUGGACUCGCGGCUUAUCAGCUUGUUGGUGGGGUAGUGGCUUACCAAGGCUUUGACGGGUAGCCGGCCUGAGAGGGUGACCGGCCACAUUGGGACUGAGAGACGGCCCAGACUGCUACGGGAGGCAGCAGUGGGGAAUAUUGCACAAUGGGCGGAAGCCUGAUGCAGAAACGCCGCGUGCGGGAUGACGGCCUUCGGGUUGUAAACCGCUUUCGCCUGUGACGAAGCGUGAGUGACGGUAAUGGGUAAAGAAGCACCGGCUAACUACGUG